CGUGUUUUUGUUUUGUUUUGUUUUGUUUUUUUGUAUUUUUUGUAUUUUUUUUUGUUUUUGUUUUGUUUUGUUUUUUUUUUUGUUUUUUUGUUUUUGUUUUUGUUUUUUUUUUGUUUACAAUUGCUGGGGUGUUUUUCCAUUGAUUUUUUUACCCACUUUUUUAUAAAAUUUCAUGCUUUAUUUAUCUUUAUUUGUAUAUACAUACAAUUUUGUUAAGGAUUCAUCACUUUAACAUAUUACUUCAAGAAAAAGGUAGAUGUUUAUUCUUCAAAUUUUGACAUUCAUCAUUUUCAAAAAUUAUAACCUAACAGAAAUUUGAAUGGUAAAAGUGUUUGGUCACCUUUAAGUAUUAUAUUCUUAUUAUAAAUAUACGUUUAAAUAUAUUUAUAAAUAUAAAUAAAACAAAUAUAUAUACAUAUAUAUAUAUAUAUAUAUAUAUAUAUUAAAACCACAACAUUUGAACCAAGAGAAUGUAAAGUUAGAAAUGUCAAGGUUUCCAGAGUUUGUAUUUAAGGUUAAGUCACAGUGGUUGUUUUUGUAUAAUGAAAUAACACCCAACUAAUCAGAACAUGGUUUUCCUUAGAAAUCUUUCAAAACAUUUCAUGCAUUGGAAAGAUUUCGAAGGAAAAUAACACAAAUGAAUGCGCUUGAAACAAGAUUGAACUAUUAUAUGGAAUACAAGUUUCAAUAUAGUACAAAAUUAUAAAUUUCUGUACGUGAAAUAAAAAUUCGGACAAGGUAAAAUCAAUAUCAUAAGGGACACUGCAUAAAUUAGUUGAAAUUAACAACGGUUAUUUUAAAAAAUAAAAUAUCAAUAUUUAUUAACAUGCAUGUAGAAGAUAAUUUUUAUGUGAAUACAUGUGAAUACAUUACUUAUAGAGAUUAAAAUAUACCUUUUAAAAUCGUAUUAAAUGUAACCUGUUUGUUUGAAAGUAAAUUCAUACACCGAAAAAUCUUGAUUUUUUUACACAAACAUGCAAAUUACUGAAUUGCAGGAUGAAGACCUGAAUAAUUUGAAUAAAAAGGCGAACUUAUUUGAAAAUGUCCUUAUAGAAUAAAAUUUCAGAACUUUUAAAUUAUGUGUUUUUUCUUGUGAGGAAUGUUUUUAAUGGCUGAUUUCUCUGAUAUGAGUUUCAUCGACUGAUUACUUCCAUAGCAUUAAACUUCAAUUUCAAUAGGUAUCUGUCGUUUUUUACAGUAAUAUGAGAUAUUAAUUAAAUUAUUGAUUUAGUAUGAUCCAAUAAUUUAGAUUGAUUUUCCAAAUAACUAUUAAUAAAAAUGUAAGUACAACAAGUGCACAGACAAAAUUAAAAAAACAUUAUAAUGCAGUAUUAUUUUGGUUGUUAUACACUUAAUUUAAUACAUUGUCAUAAAAUGGAUACAAUGUAUUUUUUUGGAAAGUUUGUUAAAAAAUUUUAAAAAUGAAAAUAAUCUAGUGUAUGUGUGUAUAUAUAUAUAUAUAUAUAUAUAUAAAUAAACAGUAUGUCCGCAUCAGAAUCAAACAUAGCCAUUUAUGAGUAACUGCAUCUUUAUAUGAUUCAUGGUCAUUAGUUUAUUUAUGCAACAGAAAUUAGAUUCAUGAAACACUUAACAUUUCUUAACACAUUUAACAUGACUUUCUUUUCUUCUCUUUUCUUUUCUUGCCUAUUUCAAAGUGAUGUGUGAUACAUAAAAAUUUAUAUGAUAAAAAUAAAAAUAAACAUUUAAAAUAACAUAAGGUGAUUGUUGGACAAAACUCUGUUUUUGUAUUUCAUACUGAAGAUUAAUUUCAGUAUACUCCUUAUACUAAAUUAUAAUCCUUUAUUCACAUUACCUAAAAAAUUAUGAUUAUUGUUUGAUUAAGCUUUGUGAAUAUACCUAUGUUGUAUGUUAGUCACAAAAAAAAAUAAAAAAAUAAAAAAAUAAAAUGCAAAGAUGGUAAUAAUAAUUAUAUAAAUAUAAUUUUUUUUAUUAUAUAUAUAUAUAUAUAUAUAUAUAUGCUUCCCAGCAUUAAAAAUAUUGAGUACCUUAAAUGCAUGGGAUAUACUUCUAAUAAAUGGUAGCAAAAAUUUGUACUGUUCCAAACCAUUCAAUAAACAAUGAAUACCUCAAAAGCCCUUUUUCAAGAGUACAAGCAAUACGUCCUACUUCUUUGGAUUGAAGUGCAUGUUGAGAAUUUAAAUAUUAUAUAUAUAUAUAUAUAUAUAUAUAUUCAUACAUACAAUAUUACCACUCCUAAGUUUUAGGAUUGAAUUAUCUGUCAAAACAUAACUUAUAGUAAGUUAAAACUUACCAAGUUUAGCCAAAAUCAUGAAUCUGCUCAAGUAUCUAUUUAUUGCUAGCCUAAUGCUUUCUCUCAUGCAUGCCCAAUACUUAUGCACCACAUAUAAUGUUGAGCUUUGCCAACACCUAACAACUAAUGAUUUGCAAGCAAAGAGAUGUGGAGCCUUAGAUCUUGUAGGCAACUCUUGUAGAGUGGACCAAAACCAAGUUUAAAGCACCCUCAUAAGUUAUUAUUAGAAAAUCUUUAAGAAAGAAGAUGAGUACAAAGCCAUGGAUCAAGACCAACUUCAAGCAAAGUGCUUAAGGAUGGUUCACUUUCUUGACCUUGAGGAAUCAUUUAUUCUAUGGGUUCUACAAUGAUAAUUGUAAAAUGUCUUGUUAUUAGUCAAACUUAUUAAAAAGCGCGGUCGAUGCUUCGUAGAAAUGCUUUCAAUCUUCAAAGAUAAAAUAGAAUUUUUAAAUGAUUAUUUUGAAAAUUUUAUCUCUUGCCACAAGCUGAAAGUGAUUUGAAUAUACUAAGAGAUAGACUCAAUUGAUCAAGUUAAUAUUGAUGCAACGAUGCUUGCUCUAUGCACAUGUAUUGUAAGAUAUGAUUUGUAUGAUGUAUACAAUAUAGAUGAAAUGAACGUAGAACUUUUUUACAAUAUAGUGCUAGACCGAACCAUUACUCAACAAUAAAUUGUCAACUACAAGAAAGAAAUUACACGAAUCACCAUUGCAUUCACAACGAAUGCCAUUGAAACCUACAAAUUGCCAUCAUUUUUUUAUCAGCUAUGCCGACAAGUUCUAUUGCUUCAACCAUUAUAUAAGCAAACAACUAAGUUUUUAUUAUUUUUUUAAUAAGAAAGAGUGUAUAAUAGAGUUUUUUUUUUUUUUUUUUUUUUUUUUUUUUUUUUUUCCAAAAAUGGCUUAAAAAUCUGAAUAAAGAUAUAUGAAGGGCACAUUAGUAGAUCUUGCUCCUCAUAGACAAUGCAUCAUUAUACAUUAUAAAUGACCAUAUUUCUUCAAACAUAGAUAUUUGAGUACUUCUACCAAAUACAACUUCAAAGAUCCAACCAAUGAAUGUUGGAAUCAUUGUGGCAUUCAAGUAGCACUAUUAACACUUCUAUUAGUAGAAUGCACUUAUCCAAGAUGAACAAAAUGAGGUCAAUUUAUACAAGGUCGAUUAAUUGAUGGUAAUGCACUGGUAACUUGCGACUUGGACAAAAAUAUCUGCAACAAUAAUAUAAAAUUAUUUCUAUUAUAUUAGAUUGUUUAAGUAAGUACUUGAAGUCUUAAUAAUCAACUAUAAAGAAAUAGUCAAAGAAGAGCUGGUGGGCAAAAUUUGAGAUCUUUUAUUACAAAAUCUAAUAUUAUUCAAAAAUCUACUCAAUCUAAUUGAAAAAAAUGGUUUACAUAUUAAACUAGAUGAUGACAAAAUUGUUGAGCUAUAUGUCAUGAAGAAGUAGAAUAUCACGGACAUACUCAUAUAAGCUAGUAAUUACAUAUACAAAUAGGUGGAAGUAAGUAAAAGUAGAUAAAAGUAAGUUAAUUCUAUAGUAUUUAAUAUAGAAGCUUCUUAGAAGCUUCAUAGACAUUGCUUUGACUUCAUAGGUGUCUUUAAUUGACUUUUUGGAUUAAAAACGUGGUCAACAAGUUGGCCAUGUACUACACAUAUUGUUAGCUUGAAGAUCAAGCUAACUAUGUGGCCCACACGUAGAAAAACUUACCUUGUAAGUCAAUGCAUGUGUCCUACAAAGUCAACACAUAUUGGAGGUCCUAUAGAACGUCGCCACGUAGCCCUUAUUUAGAUAGUAUAUAUAGAAACAAGAGUGAAGCCUUCUUCACUCUUGUCAACUCCUUUCUUACUUCCAAUCUAAUUUCAAGGGUCUUUAGUUUUCUUGUCUUUUGGCAAUAGCCAUUCUAGUUUCUCUUUCAAUAUACAUACUUGUUUAUUUAUAUUUUGUUACCCUUCUUUGAGUGAAGGCUCACUUAUCUGAAUUACUUUUUCAUCAAGUUCUUAUCCUUGACAGAUUGACAAGAGUACACCUACAAUAUCAGAGCUUUGUCUAAUCUUGAUUAAGAGUGGAUUAUCCCUUUUUUUUGACAAGAUAUAAUCAUAUUAGAAGUUGCGGAUUACCCUCUUCUAAACUGAUAUUGUCUUUAGUAUUUUCUUUGUUCCCAAGUCCUCUCUUCUAUUUGUCUUGAGCGAUAUUAGACAUCUUCUCUCUUCUAAGUGUUAUCAUGGCAAAACUUGUUGAAAUGAAGAGUGCAAUGACACAAAUAUAAGAGCAAUUGAGAGAGUUAAUGCUUCCGAUGCAUCAACUCAAUUUACCACCACAAGGAGCAACAAGAUUAGCAGAAAGUGAACAUAUAGAAAUGGUUGGAGCUACUUCAACAUCUGCACCAGACCAUGUCCUUUCUCCUAUGGUGGAAUAGCCUUCAAAUGUUAGAGAACCAAGAAUUGCCCUACCCCAAAAGUUUGAUGGCACCAGAUCCAAGUUUCGAGGAUUUAUCAAUCAAGUGCAACUUGUGAUUGAACUUCAAUCCCAAAGCUAUCCAAUUCUAGGAUCGCAAGUUAGAUUCAUUGCUACGCUUCUUUCAGGUUCAGCACUAUCAUGGUUUUCAUCUUUUCUUGAAUGACAAGAUUCAAUAUUAGAUAAUCUAGAGGUUUUUUUGGCGGAGUUUUGAUCCAUGUAUGGAGAACAUGAUAUAAUUUGUGUUGCAACCAAUAAGAUCUGUAUUCUAUAUCCUUAUUAGCCAAUUUCUCUACGGAUUAUAAUAUGAGGUAAAAAAAUUAAUGCUCAACUUACUUGAUCCUCAAACAUUGAGUCAAGCAAUUGACUUUGCUGUGAAGUGCGACAAUCACCUUUUUGAAUUCCGAUCUAAGAACCGACCUCAAAGUAACUAUAAUUCAAUGGCAACACCAACACCUCUUCAUCACAUACAUUCGGAAGUAGAGGAUAUGCAAAUUGAUAGAGUACGUUUUAAAUCUCUUACUAAGCAAGAAAAGACGCAUCAUCGUUAAGAAGGAUUAUAUUUAUAUAGUGGAGAACCAAAGCACACUGCUCAACAUUGUCCAAAGAAACGACGCAAUUACAAAUUGAGGAGUAUGGCUGUGAAAGAAGACAAUAUGUCAGAAAACGAGUUUAUCCAACCAUAAUAAGGACCGUGCGGCUGGAACCUUGCACAACAUCUAGUAAAGAUCCUAUUCUCUCCUCAGAGUCCUCUCUUCUUUUUACAUUAAAUGUUAUUUUAGAACCUAAACAUUACAAAGUCUCUGCCUUGUUAGAUUCAGGAGCCUCAGCGUGUUUUUUAUAUGAAGAAUUUACUAAAAGACAUAGCAUAUCUUUAGUAAAGAAAACUAAACCUGUUCAUGUAGAAGUCAUAGAUGGUCGUCUAUUGUCUUCUGGGGAUAUUACUCACGAAACCCUUCCUAUAGAAGUAGUAAUCAAUGGUCAUAAUAGCUUUGUAGUAUUUAAUAUCAUUAGAUCUCUCUCUAAUCCAAUCAUUUUAAGUUUAUCAUGAUUAAAAAAAUACAAUCCUCAAAUAGAUUGGAUUUUCCGAACUCUUACUUUUUUUAAAAGUAUAACUAACAAUGUAAUUAAUCAAAUAGAGAGUCAUAAGUCCAGUUCAAUUAAACCCGUAUUUAUAGGUGCAAAAGCUUUCUUGUAUGCUGCUAUGAAAGAAUUACUAUAUAUUAUUUAUGCCACACCUGUUUGUACUGGUGGAAAGACUUCAAGUGACAUUCCAAGCCAAUAUCAAGAAUUUCAAGAUGUAUUCGAAAAAAAAGAAUGCGGAUACACUCUCAGAACAUCAUCCCUAUGAUUGCUCAAUUGACCUUCAAGAAGGAGCACAACCGCCAUUCGGACCAAUCUACAGUUUAUCACAAAAUGAAUUGAUUGAACUCAAAGAGUAUAUUGAAGAAAAUCUAGCCAAGAAUUUCAUACGCUAUUCUAAAUCUUUGGUAAAAGCUCCAAUUCUAUUUAUAAAGAAAAAAGAUGGAACAUUGAGGAUGUGUGUUGAUUAUCGAGGACUCAACAAGAUUACUAUUAAGAACAGGUAUCCACUACCUUUAAUAACUGGACUUCUUGAUCAGCUAAAUCAAGCUAAGAUCUAUACAAAAAUAGAUCUUUGGGGAGCAUACAAUCUAGUACGCAUCAAAGAAGGAGAUGAAUAGAAGACUGCAUUUCGAACUAGGUAUGGACAUUUUGAAUACAACGUCAUGUCUUUUGGACUUACAAAUGCACCAGCAGCUUUUCAUCAUCUAAUGAAUGAUGUUUUUUGAGAGUUUUUGGACGAUUUUGUAGUCUAUUAUCUAGACGACAUCUUGAUCUAUUCUAAGAAUCUAGAAGAACAUGAACUUCAUGUUUGUCAUGUGUUACAAAAAUUAAGAGAUGCAAGACUUUAUGCCAAGGUAGAAAAGUGUAUAUUCCAUACUACUCAAGUCAAUUUCUUAGGUUACAUCAUUUCAAAUGAUGGAUCCUAAGAAAGUUCAAACUAUUAUAGCUUGAAAGAUUCUAAAAAACGGUAAGAGAUGUCCAAUAUUUUUUGGGAUUUGCCAACUACUAUCGAAUCUUGAUCAAGGACUUCUUUCUAGUUGCAGCUCCACUUACACAUUUGACUUGUAAAGACAAACUCCAAUGGAAUCAAGAAGCGGAAGUUGCUUUUGAAUCUUUGAAGACAGCGUUUGUUUUUGCACCAAUCUUGUAUCGUGUUGAUUUUUCCAAAGCAUUUUUUAUGGAAACAGAUGCAUCAGACUUUGCUCUGGGUGCGAUUUUAUCACAAAUGGGAACAAAUGACAAACUUCAUCUAGUAGCCUUUCAUUCAAGAAAAUUCUCAACAGCAGAAAUCAAUUAUGAGAUCCAUGACAAAGAACUUCUUGCAAUUGUGGAUUCUUUUCAAGCAUGGCAUCAUUAUCUAGAAGGCGCUUCCAGUCCAAUUACCGUGUAUAUGGAUCACAAGAACCUCAAAUAUUUUAUGUCAGCACACGUAUUAAAUCGUCUUCAAGCUCGUUGGAGCAUGUCUUUAUCAAGAUUCGAGUUCAUCAUCACUUACCGACCAAGAAAACAACAAGAUUUGACCGAUGCCUUGUCUAAACGUUCUUAUCUUGUACGAAAAGAAGGAGAUGCAGCUUAAGACCAACAAAGAAUGGUUCUCUUCAAGCCGAAGUAAUUUCAUCUUCGAGCAAUAAAAUCAACAUUGACUAUUGAUUUAACUUUUCUUAAGCAAGUUCAGUUAAGUAUGUCUUCAGACCCUCUUGUUCAUGAUAUCAAGAAUAAUUCUUCUAAAUCUCAUGAUCCCUCUAAAUUUGAAUUCAAGAACAACCUACUCUAUUUCAAAGGAUGCCUAUGUUUUCCAGAAGAAGAAGUAUGUUUACGUAUUCUUCAAGCUCAUCAUGACUUCCCAGCAGCAGGACAUUUUUGGAUAUAAUAAGACUUUGGAGCUGAUAUCUAGGGAUUUUUGGUGGCCUCAAAUGUGGAAGGCAGUCAAAGAUUUUGUACAAUCAUGUGAUGUUUGCUCAAGAUCAAAAACUCCUCGUCAUUGACCUUUUGGACUUCUUCAGCCAUUACCCAUUCCAGAACAACCAUGGUCUUUUGUUUCUAUGGACUUCAUUACAGAUCUUCCAAUCUCAGGUUCUUAUGAUUCUAUAUUCGUGAUAGUAGAUCAUUUUACCAAGAUGGCAUAUUUUGUACUAUGUAUAAAAUCUAUCACAUGUGAAGAAACAGCUAAGCUCUUUCUUGAUAAUAUCUAUCGCUAUCAUGUAUUACCCAAGGAUAUUAUAUCAGAUAGGGGAACUCAAUUUGUAUCAAGAUUUUGGCGGACUCUUUUUAAGAUUCUUAAAGUGGAUAUAAAACUAUCUUUAGCAUUCUAUCCUCAAACUGAUGGACAAACGGAGCGUGUUAAUCAAGUUUUGGAGCAAUAUUUAAGAUGUACUAUUAACUACCAAUAAGAUGAUUGGACAACUCUUUUGCCAUUGGCAGAGUUUGCUUACAAUAACACGGUACAUUCUUCUACAAAAUAAACACCUUUCUUUGCUAAUUAUGGUUAUCAUCUACGACUUGAUACUUUUGACUUUUCAAAAGUUGAUAAUCUUACUGCGAAAGAUUUGGCGAUUCAUUUAUUAGAGCUAUAUGCAACGAUAAAGGUGCAGUUAAAAGAGGCUCAAGAACAACAAAAGGUCAAUGCGGAUGUCUAUCGAAAGGAACAACCACCAUUCCUCUUGGGUGAUAAGGUAUGGCUACUUCGUCACAAUAUCAAGACCAUUUGUCCUUGUGACAAGUUGGACUAUCGAAGGUUGGGACCAUUUUCUAUUUCUGCACAAAUCAAUCUAGUUGCAUAUCGUUUACAUCUACCAGAGUCAAUGAAAAUCCAUCCAGUAUUCCACGUAUCUCUUCUUGAACCAUACAAGACAGUAGACAUACCAAAAAGACGACAAGCUCCACCUCCUCCUAUAGAAGUCGACAAUAAUGAAGAAUUUGAAGUAAAAGAAGUCUUAGAUUCAAGGUGGCACCGAAAUAAAUUGGAAUAUCUUGUCCAUUGGCACGGAUAUGAUAUUAGUGAACGCACAUGGGAGCCAAUAAAGAAUCUUGCAAAUGCAGCAAAGACAAUGGAGGCUUUUCAUCGAUGACAUCCAUCAAAAUCAAGAUAAAAACCUUCUUUAUAAAAGAAACAAUAUCUAGGCAAUAUAACAUUCUACUUUCAAUCUUUGUUUGUAGCUUCUUUGUAGUUGUGAUGCUCAAGAGAUGGAGAACCAACAAUCAGCGGAUUUGACUCAAGAGCCUUCAUUUGCUGACCUACCGGAUGAGACAUUACGAUUGUCAUGACCUUCAAGAUGACGUAAUCGAGAUGAAGAUCUUUAAGAAUGACAUGUUCUUCCUCAAAUAGAUGGCGAGAUACAACAUGUUUGGUAUCACGAUUUAGGAAGGGACUCCCAAUGUUUGGUGAUUUUGCUAGAGGUAGGAACAACUCCUGAUGGUGUUCCAAAUGUUCUAUUUGAAGGAAGUUAUGAAGGCCUCAACAAUGAUCAAAUAACUGGGUAGUCUUUCCACCCUGGUAUGGGACACUAUCGAUGGUUAAGAGGCCCUAUCAAUCAUCUUCAAAGAGAACAAAGAUCAGAGUAUGUGGCGAAUAUAAUUCGUCGUAUCAUAGAUUUCUUCAACAUAUGAUGACUGCUCCUCAUGGAAUUCGUUCCUAGAAGGGAGGAUAAUGUCACGGACAUAGUCAUGUAAGCUAGUAAUUACAUAUAUAAAUAGGUGGAAGUAAGUAAAAAUAAAUAAAAGUAAGUUAAUUCUAUAGUAUUUAAUAUGGAAGCUUUUUAGAAGCUUCAUAGAUGCUACUUUGACUUCAUAGGUGUCUUUAUUUGACUUUUUGGAUUAGAAACGUGGUCAACAAGUUGGCCAUGUGCCACAUAUGUUGUUAGCUUGAAGAUCAAGUUAACUAUAUGGCCCGCACGUAGAAAAACUUGCCUUGUAAGUCAAGGCAUGUAUCCUACAAAGUCAACACAUAUUGGAGGUCCUAUAGAAUGUCGCCACGUAGUCCCUAGUUGGAUAGUAUAUAUAGAGACAAGAGUGAAGCCUUCUUCACUCUUGGCAACUUCUUUCUUGCUUCUAGUCUAGUUUCAAGGGUCUCUAGUUUUCUUGUCUUUUGGCAAUAGCCAUUCUAGUUUCUCUUUCAAUAUACAUACUUGUUUAUUUAUAUUUUAUUACCCUUCUUUGAGUAAAGGCUCACUUGUCUGAAUUACUUUUUCAUCGAGUUCUUGUCCUUGACAUAGAGAGAUAUAAAGAUGUUGACAACAUCCUUGAAGAAGAUUAUGCACCCAUAUCGUUUAUGUGCAUAAUAUCAUAUUACGUGUGUUCUUGCUUGAGAAUGCAACAAGCACCUAGUUGUGGAAGGUAAGUAGAAAUUCAACAACAAUCCUAUCAAGUCUAAUAGAGUCUUAAAUAAACUUUAAAUAAACCUUAAUAAUCCUAAUCAAAUAUCAAUUCAUCCAAAAAAAAUUAAAAGAAGUUAUUAAAAAAAUAAAAAUAAAAAAUAUAUUAAUAAAUAAAUAAAAAAUAAACCUUUAAAGAAAUAAAAAUAAUUUUUAAAAAAUAUUAGAAAUAUAAAAUUUUAAAGAAACAACAAUAAUCCUAAAAAAUACUAAAAAUAAAAAUUUUAAAUAAUUCUUAACUAAAUCUUAAUUUAAUCCUAGCUUAAAUCUUAAUGAACCUUAAUCAAAUCCUAAGUCAAGUCCUAAUUGAAACCUUAAUGAAAUUCUAAACCUUAAACAAAUUCUAAACCAAAUCCAAAGUAAAUCCUAAUCAAAUUCUAAAUUUCAAACAAACUCUUAACAAACCUUUUAGUAGAUUGAAAUUUCAACAACUAAUAAUCAAACUAUUGAUAUCAACUCAAAUUUUUUACACUUCUUAAUAACUUAGUUAGAAAUAAGCACAAGAUAGAUGAAAUCAAUCGUACAUAUCAAUUGAAAGAAAUGCAAGUUAAUCCACUCAAAUGUUAGACACCCUCCUACUCCAAUCUUAAUGCUAAAUUUUUAGUACUAAUAUCUCUUUUUUAAACCAUUGAAUUACUCUCAAAUUUUACAAAAAUGUUAAAAUUUAAGUCAAUUAUCUAUAUAAAUAAUUUUCUUUCCAAUCCAAUUAGAAAAUUUCUAAAGAUUUUAGAAACACUCAUUGACCCUCAAACUUCAAUUUUUAUAACCUCAAUCCCAUACAAACCUUCAUAUGCUUCAAUCUAACUGUUCAAUUGACCUCAAAUUUUGUAUACAUAUUUACAACUAGUACAUCAACACACUAUUCAAAUUUCAUCCAUACUCAUGCCACAAAAUUUACAAAAUCUUUACAUUUGUAAACACAUUUUUAUUUUUCAAAACCUAAACCUACCAAGAACAUUAUUAACUUUAAAAAUCCCUCUAAAUCUUAAUACUCAUUCAAAUGAUAUAAAACCAAUGCCCAAAAAUCUCUUUUCAAGUUUCCUCUCAAAUUCUACUCUUUGAUCUCCAAAAGAAUCCUUGAGUUGCUAUAUGGGCAUGGUAUUGUACCUUAGGAUCUAAUUUUGACCUAAGUUGACAACUAGUCCUCUUCAAGUAUUAAUUUUUAGUAAUUUGAGAUAAGUUUUGCUUUAACCUAUUGGAAACUCUCUCUUAAACAUUUAUAUAUCAAUUUCUUAUCUUAUUUACUUUGAUUUGGCUCAUUUAUGCCUCUACAUAAAUAGAAGUUCCUUCUACAAAUAAUGGUGUCAUGUUGUAACAUGACUAUAUGGUAAAAAUAUAAAUAAAAAAGAUUUUAUUAAUAUUUAGUCAUCUUAGAUGUUAGGAACAGUGGCCAAUUCGAGUACCAAUAUUCAAGGGUCAGUUAAUGUCACCUCAUUGCAAGCUAUACCAUCGUACGUGACAUCAGCAAUAUGCUCCACCGGCAUCAUCAAAUGAAGUACCUUCCGUACCAACGGCACAACCAAGAUCAUUUUCUAACCCUACAUGGAAUAAGCCUAGUAUGUAUAUACUGGUGGAGACACCCAAUAUGCCUGAUGGGGGUGCAAGAAGACCACUUCGUUGUUUACAUUGCAGACAGAUUGAUUAUUAUGCUUGUGAAUGUUCCAAUCCCAGAGCCAAUGACGAUUACACGCAAGUGUGUGGGAAUUGCAAAUAAUUGGGGCAUACUUAUCAAAAAUGUAAUGCUCUGUUCAAUUUCAAUAAUUGGGAUCAACAGAUCUAAAGCCAACAAAAAAUUGAAGAGAUAAAUUGAAGUUCUCAAGAUACGCUGAUAAAUCGGGUGGAAUGUGUCCAAGCCGUUCUUACCAAGAGUCGGCAAAAGGAGAAAGGACCAAUUCAACAUUUAGGUGAGCUUGAUGCGAAGGGCCAAUUUGACCCAAUUACAGGGACAUCUAAUCCAAGUCUUGUUAUGGGCCUCUUAACCAAUAUGAAACCUGACUCAGUUGGGCAAUUCAAUGAGGUCUCGAUUACGGAGGCUUCGGUUUCAUUUCAAGCUGUUCGAAUUCCGAAUCCAAGGCGGAAGAAUAGGGAACCUCACGGAGUUAAAAGAAAAGAGAAGAAAAGAAAAAGGGCAUUUGGGGAGAUCGGAAUUUUGGAGUCGGAGAGCUAGCUUCAAGCUCCUUCGAAAGAUGUAGGACUUGAUUUCAUAGGAUUUGGGAGGACUUUGCAGUCGUUGCUCAAAGUCAGUGUUUGUAUUAGUAAAUUGGAUUUUUUUUUCAAUAAAGUUAAAGCUAGUACUUUUGACUGUUUUGUGAAAUUAGAAAAACAUCUGCGGUUGAAAUUUUAGAGAUGUCUAGAUGGUUGAGUAUGCCAAGCCCAUGAAAAAAAUUAUAUUAAUCUAAUAAUAUGGAUAGAGGAUAUUUGAUCAUUAGUGUAAAGAUGUAUUAGAAGUUGGCAUAUUGAGGUUGUUUAGGAUUUCUGUAAUAUAUGGAGAUCUAUCAGCUGGAAUAAGGUGAAUUUUGACAUAGUAAGUCAAGGACUUAAAUGCGGAGCUGCACAUAAGGUUUGAAUGAGAAUUAACAGUUAGAGAAGGAGAAAUUGCAAGUCAAGGUUCAUCAUCAACUUUCUAGGGGGCGCUCAAAGGACAUCAGUGUGGAUGUACGAUGUUUUCUUACAAUCUGUAAGUUAGAUUGGAUUGAAACUUCUUGAGCAUUUAGAAGAAUUGCAAAGACACUAGUGAUAGAAGUUUUAUAACAAUCGAACGAUCAGAUUGAGAAUUACAGCUUGCCGAAGCUCGUUGUCUAUGGUUAGGGUUUUAAAAUUAAAAAAUAAUAAAUAAUAAAUAAUAAAUAAAUAAAAUAAAUAAAUAAAUAAAUAAAUAAAUAAAUAAAACUAAAAAACAACAAAAGAAUUUAUGCUUAUAAUAACUUAAAGUUAUUAGAAAUAGUAUUUCUAAGCACUUUGUUUUGGGAUUAAGUUUUUACAUUGAAAUCCGAAAUAGUUUAUAUUUAGAUGGUUGAAACCCACUAGACUACUUGGAUACUUGCAAAACAUCAUUUUAUCUAGUACAGCCAAAUGCGUUCUCCAGCAAGAUAGCACAUAAUACGACAGCGGCAUUAAGACUAAAUCUUUUACUAUCUUUCUAUUAUUUAUCCUUAUUUUUCUAUUACAACUUUCCAUUAGGUACUUCUAUAAUAACAUCCAUAUUUUUAUUUUUCACUAUAUAGUUGUAUUAUUAUACAAUAAUAGAGAAGCUACGAAGCCUUUUUAUUUCCUUGAUAGAUGUUGGAGAUGUGAGUGAAUAUGCUAUUCACAAGAUUCUUUGAAACAUUAAGAGAAGCUACAUAAGUCAUUUAAUAGAGCACAUUGGAUUUCUGACUAAGCUAGAUUCCCUACUAUUUAUGCCUUCUACAAAGUUAUAUAGCCUUUGUUUUUUUUUUGUUUUUUUUGUUUUUUUUUUUUUCCCCUCCCUUACCAUAAUUGAUAACUUAUGAAAAUUAUAACUUAAUCGCAAUAUAACCAAGUCAAUUCUUCAAUUUUUCAAAACUUAUUGGGAGUUGUAAGAUAUGUUGGGAGAUAACUUAGAAGAGGUAAUACUAUACAUACUCAACUAAAAUUUAAAACCAUAAACUUUUAAUAUUAAUUAAUUAUAUUUCAAAAGUAAAAAUUUGAUAAUAUAUACAAUUAAUUCUUAUUUAUUUAGGUCGAUAUAUGGUUUUUAUUAUUAUUAUUAUUAUUAUUAACUUUCUUUCAAUGAUUAUAAUUUUCUAAAUUUCUGUACUUUUUGAGAAGGUAACAACAAAAUAUUAAUUUUAAUCUUUGUGGAUUAUUUAUAAUCAUAUGAUUCAUCUAAAAAAGCAAUUCCCAGUCUUAUUUGUACUAUUUGAGACCCUCUAAUAACAUACAGAUUUGGGUCUUUAAAAUACCCAUGCUUGUUAAUUUUUACAACAUUGAAAGUAAAAAUCAGAAUAAGAUUAAUUGCACUAAAGAAUCUGUACCUGAAUAAUUUCAUUUCUAGGUAUUCCAUCAAAGAAAACCUAUUUUAAGAUUAUAAUAUUGUUUUGUAUUUCAUCAUGUAGGAUUUUUUAAAAAUGCUUGAAAGAUGUAUAUUAUGACAAAUUGUUAUUUUUAUUGGCUUUAAAUUCAUAUACAUAUAUAUAAUUUGAAUAUCCACUUGCAAAAAAUUACACGUAUCCAUUGAACAAUAGAAAUACUGCUUACUUACAAAUUUUUAUCCUAUUUUUUAGUCAUUUUCAUCUGAAAAACAUUCUUAGUUUCUUCCAGUUUCAAAAAUGAAAUAACAGACCAGUCCAAAACAGUUUGAUUAAGAAAUUGAAUUACUUAUGUGUGUGUGUGUGCGUGUGUGUGCAUGCACAUAUAUAAACGCACACAUUCAUAUUCAAACUAUGUGUUAAUCAAUAUGGGGUUGAUUUAAAAUUUUAUUUUGAAUUUAAAUAUAUAUAUAUAUAUAUAUAUAUAAAUCUACUUCAUCAAAAUACAACCUAUUUUGACAUAAUUCUCAAAUGAAUGACGCAUUUCAAUAUACUCUAUUAAUAGUGUAUGUUAAAUAGUGUAGUUAGGGUUCUCUUGCUGACAUGACAAUGGAGUUUGUUUCGAGGGGAGAUGCAACCACAUCUGGACGAAUGAACGUAAUUGAAUGAAUAAGUGCAUGGAUGGACGGAUUGUGUGUUGGGGUGGUCGGCGAAGCUCCACCCAGUCCGGGCCCGCCCCGCCCCACACCACAUGGCGAAGUCAGAAGGGGGGGGGAGGAAUAAAUUUAAAUUUAAAUUAAUCACUAAGUUAAUUAAUUAAAAUGGGGGGGGGGGGUGGGUCACUCACCCACCAACUCACCUUGUUCAUCCCAAAUUACUAGUAUGUAACUAGUAACCAACUAACAAACUAGUGAUUGAGGAGAGUCUCCUUUGAAAUGCUCAGUGUCUUGAUCUUCUUCAUGUAUUUAUUUGUACAUUUUAUUCUAUUCUAUUAUUCCUACACUAUGGAAAAGCAUACCCAUAAGUUUAUCUACAUUAAUAUAUGUAUAUAUAUAUAUAUAUAUAUAUACAUAUAUUAAAGUGUUUUUUAAUGUGUUAUAUCUAUGUAAAGUUUUGAAAUUCAUAAAGAAUCGUGAAUAUUUUAAUUAUCAAACUUUACCAAUACGAGGGCAAACAAUGGUGCAAUUAAAUUAUUUUGUUAUAGUGUGUUAAGAUAUUCAGUUGGUCUUGUUUUAACAUUGGUAUAACAGUUUCAUAAACCCUUUACAACAACUUUUAGAGCCAUAGAAGAAGAUACUCUUGUGUGUGUGUGUGUGUGUGUGUGUGUGUUCGUGUAUAUAUAUAUAUAUAUAUAUAUAUAACUACACACAUUAAAUCAAUGUCGUCAAACUUAGUUCUCCAGUACAUAUGAUCUGUAUUCAGCUAAAAUUUAUCAUCAAUUUCAGUUUUUUGAACUAGCUUCAGUGUUUUCCAAAAGUUAUCACAUAGCAUAUUAUUGUUUAAGAUUUUAUUUAGCAUACAUGGGUGUGUAUUUGCAGAAAUAUACUACAUUUUCAAAACGAUUUUAUGAUGUAAGAAGAAAGUAUUAAAAGCUUGAACCCUUGUAAGAACCUUUGAAAUAGUGAUAUUCUUCAGGUUUAUUAGGUACUUUAUUCAGUUCCCUUUUGUUAGUAUUCAAAUUUGUGAUAUUUGUAGGUGGUACAAUGUGUAUGAAAAUGUAACCACAGGAAUUUAAUUGACUUUGUGAUUAUUCUAUUAAAUUCUAAAUAAUUGAGCAUUCGUCCUCAAUUGAAUUUUAAAUAAUUAAAUAAUUGACUUUCACUUUAUAAUCUCAUAUUACCUUUCCUUUCAAUUUAGAAAGGUUACCCCACAAUUGCACAAAUUCUUUAUCCUAUGUCUGUCUUUUACAUGCCGUGCUAAACAUUACUUUACAUAGAUUUUUAUUUUAUUUUUUUAUGUUUUUUCUUUCUUUCAUUCAAUGAAAAAUAAAAAAUACAUUAGAAUGGGUUUAACAUUCACCAUCCAUUUAAAUUUCACAUCAAAAACAUCACACUGUAUUCAAAAACAAUACCCACAUUCUUCAAGCAACGCAGCAAUAUUUUCAAAGAAACCCUAAUAAACAUCAAAACAAUAUUCAUCACAUUGUAAAAACAUUACACUCAAUUUUACAUACAUAUUUGUACACCCACAUAACAACACUAUGCCGCCGAUCAUAUCUUGAAGUACGGCAUUUAACGUGUCUUAAUUUUUUUUCAAAAUCAUGACACCCAAUUAGGGUUUCAUCCAAAUGGAUGGUAUCCGAAUGGAUGCGAGGGGUUUCAUCCGUUCGGACAAUCCGAGGCGAUCCCAAGCCGCCGCAUAGCGUCCUUCGAACCCGAUUGGUGGACAGGGUGGUACCGGUCCACGGUGUCUCCUCCCGACCACGUAGCAAGCUUGGGAUAGGUAGGUAGGUAGGUACGCAACUGGGUUGCUGCAUCGAUACCGUGUAGAUGGAUGUAGAUUCUGAUGGAUGGGUGAACGACGCACCCGUGGCACCCGAGUGGACAACCCAUCGAUUCCCGGUAUGACCACGUCUCGCAACGCGGUAUCUUUAAAGUCAGCGCGGGUGGUGGACGACUUACCCGUUCAGCCCCCAGAUGUCAAGGGCUUGCACGGAAGUUUCGAGUAUUGUCCCCGAUUUUGGAGUUCCCACGGGAUGGGUGACGUCAUUGGUGGUCGUGUCGAUGUACUCCUUUUGUAUUGAUACCUGCAUGGUUCAAUACUGUGAUGGAACUUGGAUGAUAUCUAUUCGAUACCCGCAUUGAUGUAGACUGCAUUAGAGCCACUCAGUUUCAAAUUUUGCGGGCGUCGUCUUCUGAGUCACAAGUAAGAUACCAGAUGACGUGUCGCAACGUCAUUGGGACGUGGUAUUAGGGGGUGCUUUGGGCAUGGGCUCGAUGUGUCCCCAAGUCCACACUCUUUAUUCAUUGAUUCUUGAGUUAUAAUGUAUAUUUGGGAACUAAUGAAAUAAUAUUUAUUAAACAUUUAGAUAUUAUCAAUAUUGGUUUUAUUUUUGGAAUAAAUUGCCAAUGAAGCAAAUGUAAGCUUGUUAAUGUUUUUUCUUGGGUAUUUAUAUUUAUUCAUUUAAUCCUAUUAAUAAUUAAAUUUGUGGUAUCUUGAGUAUAUCUAUUUUUUGGGAUUUUUAUUAUUGUAUUUAGAUAAGAAAAUUAUUUAAAAGAAAAACAUGACCAUUGGAAAGUAUUUGUGAAGCUGACUGAGAACAUUCCCAAUUAUUACACUACAGCUUUUGAAACGUAUAUCAAAAUAAUAACAAUAAUACCAUCUACUCAUUUUUGUUCAUUUUAUUUAUUUUGACAUUAAAAUUUAACAGGUAUGAAUUUUGCAAUCAAAAGUUGCAUUUGUAAAUUCCUGCAGAAAUGGAUUGAAAUUGUAAAUUCUUUGACCAAAAAAUAUAUUUGACGUGUUCAACAAAAAUUCAUUGUUUUAAAGAGCUUUCAAUUUUUAUAAAUCUUAGCACAAAAUUCUGAAUUUAUAGUUUACUACUCUCAAAAUCCAAAGUUCUCACACCAAACACAUUAUGAUUCUGGCAGAUUUUGAAUAAUAAUAAAAAGGGUUUCAACAUAAUUUAUAUGUUUUUUAGGUAUAAAAAGUUUGGUUUGGAUACCUUGACUGUGUGACACGUUUUAUUAUUUUUUAAAUUGUGUAUCGUAUCAAAGAAAUACCCAUUUGCCUCAAUUAUUUUUUCUUGUGCUUUUUCUGACGUGCUUAUCUUGCAUGUAAAGAGAAUGGUGAAACUUGUCCACGUUAAUCUGUCAAGGAUAAUUUUGCUCCAUUCUCACAUCAGGACACCCGAGUACCGUUAAAAUUGCAAAGAUUUUCCUGAUAAAAUGAAUGAUUCAGCUCAAGAGUUUGCUGCGUGGAAUACCCCUCCUCGCUAUAAAAAAAAAAAAUAAAAAAAAAUAAGAAUAAAAUGUCCGAGCGGAGGGACCCAACUCAAAAAACGGUCAAUAGGUAUUAAUAAUAUUGUCAAAGUGGCACCUUGAACACGAUCUGCCGCUGUUUUCUCUAAAACAAGACCAUCAAAAAUCAUGUUCGAAGGUCCAACUGCUUCGGCACAGAUAUUUAAGGAUAAGGCCAUUUUGAGGAAGUGAAUGUUGUUCCACACAUCUGGAAAGGCAUUCCUGGAUGAGUAAGGAGGUAAUUUUGUUUGAUUCCGCCUUCUCAUCGAUGGUUCUGAGUUCCAAUGUAAUAUCACUGCUAAAAACCAAAGAAAAAUUGAAUCUAGAAUCAUAAAAGCAUUUUAUUUUUAUUUUUUAGUGUUUAAUUAUUUUAGUAUUAACAUUUUUAGUACAGGCUUUUUUCUUAAUAUCUUCUUGAUAUUUACAAUUGUCAUCUUUACAAUGUUUUUUUAAUAAUUGAUUCUUUUCAAGAAUAAUAUUGCCUAAAAUAUUUGUCUACAAUUUAUUAAUAAUUGGUGCAUUUGUCAAUAUCCAAUAUAUGAAAUCUAAAAUAAUAGUUGGUGUAAUUAGCUAAAGAAGUGUCUUACAUAGUUGUAUUAAAAUCAUUGAUAUAUUAGACUUAUUUAUUUAUUCAUUUUAAAACUUGCAACCAAUUAUUAUUGCAUACAAUGUUUUUUUCAAAUAGAUUAACAUAUCUUGAACCAUUUAAGUCAUUAUAUCAUUUAACCAUCUAUAAUUUCAAAAAAAAAGUCCAAAGACUUGGUUCAAAGCUAUAUAUAUAUAUAUAUAUAUAUAUAUAUAUAUAUUGGUACAUUUGGAUAAUUAGCUGUAGAAUUAUUUGAAAUUAAAUAGAUUCAAAUAUUUAGAAUUAGAGAUUUGAGAUCAAUAUGGAUUUCUAAAAUCUAAAAUUAACUUUUAGAAUUUAGUUAAGAUUUAUGUAGGAUUUCUUUAGAAUUUUAUUGGAAUAUCUUUAGAAUUGGUUAGGAUUUAGUUAGGAUUUGAUUAAGAUUUAGCUAAGAUUUGAAUAGUAUUUUUUAGGAUUUUCUUUAUGGUUAUUUAACAUUUGAAUAACAUUGGUAGUAACUUAAAGAAUGUCAAUAAAUUCCAUAUCUAUAAGCUUAAAUACAUUAAAUUAUAUUAGAAAUAAAUAAAAAGAUAUAUAAAUAAAUUUAAAAAUUAUUUAAAUAAGGCCACCUAAGAAAAUUGAUUGAUUGAUUGAUUGAUUGAUUGAUUAAUAAAAAUUAAUUAACUUAAAGACUUUAAAUAUAUUAUUUUUAAUAAAUUAGGUAUUUCUACAUACCUUAUAUAUUAUUUUUUGAUUACAAGAAGAAGUUUAAAAUAAGUUAAGAUCUUUCUAUAGCUAGAUUCUAUGACUACCUUAUAUAUUUUUGAGCUAAAUUUUAUAUUAUUUAAAAAGAAAUUUACAAUACUUCCUUAAUUUUAGCACUCAAAUAAAUACUAUACUUAUUACAACAAUAUAUAGAUAGCAACGAGAUAUUUUUUGCUUUGUUGAUUGUUGUUGCUUAUGUAAUUAUUGUACUUGAAGUGAGUUACUAAUAUUAAAAAAAAAAAAAUAGAAAAGAUGAACUUUAUUUUAGGUAGCCAUUUUUGAGACAUGUAAGGUACUUAAGUAGUAAUUAAUAAUGUUGCAAUUGCUGGUAACUGCAUAUGAUGCAUUAAAAAGACUACAAAAAAUACACAUUAUGAUGUGGAAAGCUUAAGACUACUUAGGAAUGUUGCAUGCAUCAAAGUUGACAAUAAGUUUAGCAUUUAAAAUGUGCACACACAACAACAAUCAUUUUUGUAUUAGACCUAUACAUCUUAUAAACAACCAAGUAACAAUGGAUAGCAAAUGUAAUAUGCAAGUAUCUUUAAUAGAUUACAAAGUAGCAAAGAUUAUUGAGGAUCUAAAAAGAAAUUAUGGCAUUACAAUUUAUAUGGCUUAGAAAUGAAAUAGUGUUGAGCUAAUUCAUUGGUACUAAAGAAAAGAACGACAAAUAACUUUUAAGAUAUUGCAUAGAAUUAUCACAAGAAAAUCCAAGAAGCAUUAUAAUUGUUAUAGCUUGAUAGUCUUUUCAUUGCAUUCUAUAUAUGGAUCUUAAGAUAUUUACUCAAAUGUUGCCAUUUAAUUGGUCUCGACAAAAAUUAUCUACAAAACAAAUAUUGUAGAGUUCUUUUAUGUGCAAAUUUAAUGGAUGGUAAAUAAGUUAUAUAUUUAAUAAUCUUUUACUAUUAUGCAUGUUGAAAAUAAAAAGAAUUAAAAAUGAUUAUUAAAUAACUUGAAGAAGCAUUCUUUUAAUAUUAUAUAAUUAAAGAGUAUAUAGUGCUAAUGAUCUUUUUGUUCAAUGGCUAAGAGAAGAUUAUCAAAGAUGUGCAACUAAUCUUUCUAAAAGUUUUUCAUAAUGUUUAUAUGUACCACCUUGUUGAGAUAUUUAGAGGAAAAUUUACAAAAAUAGAGAUGGUGAAUUUACUUCAAAACAUAGCAUGUGUGGUUAUAUCCAAUUUGUACUAAGAUGAAUUUACAAAGACUAGAGAGAUUUCAAAAGAAGUUGUUAUGUAGAUUAACAAAUUAUAGCCAAAUACUUAAACAAUAAUAUUUUUUGAAGAAUAUUGAUAUAAUUAUUUAAUAUCUAAUAUGUAAAAAUUGCUAAAUUAAUACUUGAUGGUAGUAAAAUCUCUCUCUCUCUCUCUCUCUCUCUAUAUAUAUAUAUAUAUAUAUAUAUAUAUAUAUAAGAUGAUGGAAAUGAUUUGUAGUUAAUUUAUGGUGUGAUUUAAUAAUCAACAAAGUGUAGUUCCUCUAUGAAGGACAAUGUUGACACCAUAUAUAUUUUAAUGAAAUCCUAAUGAAAUCCUAAUUAAAUCCUAUCAAUUUCUAACCAAAAUAUGUAGCAAUAUAAGAAUCUCAAAUAUUAUUAAUUAAACCAUUGGUCUUCUUUUAAAUAUUUUAUAUGUUCAAUCUAUUAAAUAAAAAAUAUCAUAUAUAAUUUUAAAAAAUUAAAAUUAGAAAUUAUAAUAUAUAUAUAUAUAUAUAUAUAUAUAUAUAUAUAUAUAUAUAUAUUUUCUUAGAUGUCCACCAUCUUCAUUUUCUAACUUUGAUGUUAAUCUACUAGCUAUAAUUUAUUGCACCAUUUACAUGCUUUCAAAAUUUUAAAUUUUUUUCAAAUUAAAUUCUAUAUCAGUUUACAAAACAUAUUUCAAUCUAACCAAUAAAAUUUUCAAAAUCAUGAAACUCUUAUUUAUCUUUAAAACGUAAUUUUUAAAAUUCUAAUCUAAUUGAAUUUCAAUAAUCUUUGAUCUAAUCAUUUGAUUAAUCUCAAAUUCACAAAAAAUAUAUAAAUCAAGAAAAUGCACAAUCCUACAAAAUAUCAUUUGUUGAUCUACUAUAAUACUUAUAAAAAAAUCAUAAUUUAAACUAUUUUUUAGUUUAUAAAAUCCUAAAUCACCUUAAAAAACCUUAACUUUGCCAAACUCUCACAAAGUCAAUAUCUAACUUAAUUCUCUAAAUCCAAUGUAUGAAAAAAUCUUAUAAAGUUUGUUUUUUAGUAUUACUGUUUGAUCAAUUAUAAAACCUUCUAAUUGCCAUAGGUGCAAGAUUUUGUGUCUUAGAAUUUGGUUUUGACCUUGGUUCACAACUAAUCCUCUUUGGAUAUCAAUCUUUAAUAUCUUUAGGUAAUUUAUGCUAGAAGCUACUUUUUAUUUCUUCUCAAAUUUUUUUAUAAUUUUUUAUAAUUAUGUAUAUAUAUAUUUGUUUUAUUUAUGGUCCUACAAAGUAAGAAAAAGCUUAUUUUAUAAAAAUACAACAUCAUUGCUAAAUGUUCAUACUACUUCUCUAUGAUUUUAUUUAUUUAUUUAUUUUUAAAUAGUUUCCCUACUAUAUUUUUUUUAGUUAAGUUCUAUAAUAUAAUCCAUGUUUUUUUCUUUCACCUAAUAACCAUGUGUCAAGGACAUGAAUCUCAAACAAAGAAAAUCCUCAAUACACUCUUGUAUCAUUGAAAGGAACUAGAAAAUCACUCAAAGAUGAUAUAAUAUUGAACUAGAAUGGCUAUUGUCGAAAACAAGAAGACUAAAAAAUCUUUGAACAAGACUAACGACUAGAAAGGUGUUGACAAGAAUGAAGAAGGCUUCACUCUUGCCUCCAUAUAUACUCUCUAACUAAGAGCUAUGUGGCAAUAUUCUAUAGGACCUCCAACAUGUCUUGACUUUGCUAAUCCACAUGUCUUAACUUACAAGGCAAUUUAUCUAUGUAUGUGCCACAUAGUAAGCUUAUUUCAAAAGCUAUUACAUGGAGUUAACUUGUUCCACAAGCUAUCAAUACAUGCUUAACUUGUUAGCAAAGUUUCUAACCUACAAACACAUCUAAAGUCAAAACUGCAUCUAUGAAGCUUCUAGGAAGCUUAUCUAGUAGACUUUAUGAAAUUAAUCUAUAUUUACUUACUUCUACCUAAUUAUAUAAGUAACUAUUGGAUAAAUGUAUAUGUCCAUGAUACCAUGUUAUAACACAACAAUUUAUCAAACAUGCCAUCUCUUGUAGUUGAUGUAAUUAGCUUGGUCAUUACAAAAGAACUUGCAAAGAACAUAUCUAGAGAGAGCCUAAGAUUUUUAUUCAUGUUUUACACUAUGUUUUUGAAAUAAAAAAUUUAUUGACCUAUUAAUGAUAUACUCGCAGACUUGUUGGCCUAUUAAUUAAGUCUAUUUUUGAUAAUUUUUCUAAAACAAAUUCACACAAUUGUAUAAGUUAUGAAUGUUAUUAAAAUUUAUCACACAUAGAAAUUUUUUGUUGUGGAUUACAUUCUAAUCUAUUUUUCUACCUAUCUAUCUAUAUACCUACUUUUUAAAAUUAAUUAUCUUUAAAUAGCUUUUAAAUGUAUAGAUAGAUAAAUAAAAGAAUAAAAUUUUAUAUGUAUUAAAAAUAAAUUCAAACAAGAGAUCUUAAGUUAAUAAAAGAAAAAUAUAAAUUAUAUAUAUAUAUUUAUAGAAAAAUAUUAAAACAAUACACUUUAUUUCUAUGGUUUAAUCUUUGUGACUACUUUUUCAAUUUGAAAAAAUAAAAACAUGUAAAUUCAAUGUCAACACUCAAAUCUUUAUGAUUGCCAAUUACUUGUUUAAUACACAUCAAUAUAAUUCAUCUCACAUAGUAAAAUUAUAAAAUACAAGUGAUGCACAAUUUUUUUUGACCUUGUUCAUUAAAUAUUGAUAUUUCUAAAUUGGCCAAGAGGAGCCUUGAAUAAAUUUAAUAUUCUUAUAGGUCAAUUCAAUAUUUUCCUAUGUAUAUAUAUAUAUAUAUAUAUAUAUAUAUAUUCAUAGAAUUAAUUAAUUUAAAUAUAUUUAUUGAAAAUAUAAUAUAUAUACAUAGGAUAAAUUAAUUUAAAUACAUUUAUUAAAAAAAUUCAGAUUUAAUAUUAAUAAUAAUAUUUUUCCUAUGAAUUGUUGCUACUACAAAUGCAAGUGUUGAUGAUAUUGAUAUUGUUGCUCCUAAAUAUCUUUUAUUGAAACAAUAAUAACAAAAAUUCACACAUAGAUUUACACAUAUAUACAUCCCAAAAAAAGAAACAGAAAAAGAAGAAAAAGAACCCUUACAAAAAAGAAAAAAAUGAUGAUGUUAUUGAAAUUUAUAAUUCAAAUCAAUUGAGCUAAACUAUUGAAUAAAAAAGCUCAAUAAUAGGUUCUAAUAUAAAAUUCCAAUUUAUAAAUUAAUUUCGAAAAUCAAUAAUGGGUUUAAUUUUUAUAUUUAUAUAUUUUUCUCAUUCAAAUACGAUAUAUUUAAGAUUUUUCCUAUUAAAAAGACUUGGAGCUGGACACAAUUACUCUCACAUUCAAUCUGUCGGUGGUUAACGGAAUCCUUCGUCCGUUCAUGCUCAGUCAUCGGAAUCCUUCGUUCGUUCGUGCACAGUCAUCGGUUUGAGCGACUUCGCGCACAAACCCCGCCGUUUUCCUGCCCAAAGAGCGCCGUCGAGGAAUGCCGCAGCAGAAACUUGAUCUGCUCUCGUUGUUGAAGGGUGUCCCAAUGCACUUUGUCUUUUUGUUGUUGUUUAUUUCUGUUGCGCUCUUGGUUAUGUUACGCGACCCUGACCUGGAAUUUUGUUUCUGUUUGCUGCACGAAGGGUGUGGAGCUCUGUCGAAAUGCUGGCUUAGGCGGUUACUAGAGCAUCCAUGGAGGGGCGGACAGGAAGAAGCUCGGUGGCCAACAACGGGGGGAGGAAUGCCGGGUUUGUUGUGCAGGAUAUAAUCCCGGGCUUACAGUGAUUCAUUAUGAUCCGUCGAUGUUGUUACGGGGAUUGGUUUUGGCCGCGGCAACCGUUUCAUUCCAUGCUCUGGUCUCUCCAAUUUCGGCAGACGGUUACCAUGAGCUCGCGUACUAAUUCCACUAGCACUGCUCAUUGCUGUCGCCUUCUCACUUCUCUUUUUGCCUUCUUUUCUCAUCACCUUCAACUCCUGCUCCACCAGAUCGUAAGCAAAUUUCACUUUUCGGAGAAAGCAACAAUCAGAGGUUACUGGUGCCAGAAGUGAGCUUCGCCAGAGGAAAUAUUCUGUUGCUGGCAAGGAGAAAUUUAUCGAUUGCAAAGUCGAUUUGCAAGCAAUUUACUUAUUUGCCCGUUGCACGUCUUUGGAAAACUGAAAGUUGCCAUGUUAGCCAAUUGACCAUGGUGUGUUGAGUUUGUCGCAGCUCAAAGAUUGCUUGCAAAACUUGAACUCCGAUGUGUCUGAAAAUUUGUAGUAAACGUAGCUGUCUCUUUUGGAUGGCUGGUUUCUUGUUGUCCAGAUUAUGGUGAAGAUUUAAAUCGAAUUUGAGUUGCCUUGGGAUAUUGUCAAAUUCUGCAAUUCGCUUGCGUAUUGCUUAAGAUUUGCAAAAUUUUACAAAUCUGAACGAUUUUUUUUCUUCUUGUGGUUUGCUAAUAAUUGGGCGAUAGCUUUGAUGCUAAAAUUUACUGUACGUCAUGCACGAUGAUAAACCAUGUUGAAAGUGCGCACUUCCAGAGUAAACAAUUGACAGGCUCUUGCAGCGCUGAAGUGUUGUAACAUCAACAAUCCUGACAAACUGGUGAUACUAUGUCCUAUCGGAAAUUCUAAAGAGAUGGAGUAGCUCAGAGUAUCAUGUGUGAAGAAUCAAAAGGAACAAAUUUGUUCUCUGUGGCGGGAUGCCGAUACAAUCCAAGUUUUUUUCAGCUCGAAAUCAGUGAAAUCAACGACGAUGUCUAAAACUAAGGAGAAAGAGGACAUAAGAAAGGAAGAAGAAAAGGAGGGAGAGGGACUAGAGAAGCCACAACCAGUGCGAAAAUCCCUGGCAGUAACUAAAACGAGAACUCAAUCUGAGAAAGAACACAUGGAGUUUGCGAAGGUUUUUGAUAGGCCGUGGGCAGCGAACUGGACUCUUAAGGCGAAGAAAUAUUUAGGCCUUUCAUAGCUGUGACUCCUCAAUCUGCGGCUGUUUCUCGUUCAAUAUCAGGUAUGUUAGUGUGACAUCACAUCAGCGUGGACUUGAAUACGAAGAAGGUCAAGCUUCCUUUCUCUGAAUUUCUUAAUGAGAUUAGGAAGAGGAAGCUUGAACCUUAACCUAAAUUUUGCAACAUUGUGAGCUUGUUGUGCAGUUGGGAGGCACAGAAACACGUCUGGAUGCUCUUGAUUUGGAGAAAUGGAAACCCACCUUGAAUAAUUGCGACUGAUUCGGUUACAGUAAUGAAGAUGUAGAGCAUCGGCAGCGUUAACCCGCAAAGAAUUACCUUCAAAUAGCACCACGGUUAGAAGUGGAUUUAUGUAAGUCUUACAAUAUAAUACCCGGAUUGGAGAUGCGGCAGAGACGACACAGCUUCAUUAGCAAAAGCAACAUCGUGAACUCAGGACGCGAAGUCACAAUCCUUCUUCUGAAGAAGCUGAGUAGAUAGCUUCAAAGAUGCCAAGGGGAGGCUUAAAAGAGGAGCAAUUGAGUAAGGAAGGGUCACGGUAUUUCAGCUACAGAGACCCUGAAGACUUUUCUUUCGAUUUCACAAAGUCUAGACCAUGGACAGAGAAUGGUCGCAUCGAAAGACAUGUGCCUUGCGGUGUAUGGAAGUCUCCGAUGUAUCUCAAUCCAAGCGUGUACCCCAACAGGAAUGUGCUGCGGUUUCCAACACGACCGCAGACUGGCAAAAAUGUGCGGUGGGGGGAAUUCAAAGGAAAACCCCAAUUUGUUGAGAAGUGUGUCGAUUCCCUGGAGAAAACUUUCGAUGCUCGUGAUAAAUUUGCCACCCGACGCCCGCCACAGUACACAAUUAAGCCACAGAAAGUUGACAAGCCUGGCCCUUGUUUUCAUCGGGCGUUGCACAAAGCUGUUGCUUCGGGAGAUAAAAACGUAUCCAAUAGAAGAUCUCUGCUGACAUUUCUUGCAAGUUUGCAUCGUAAAUUGUCAGGGCUGAUAAUUGCAUACUUUUUGAGUGUAGGAAACUCUAAGGGAAGCUGUGAAGUAGGAACUCCGCAAAUUAUUUUUCCCCUGAAUAAUUAUUUGCCAAGACGUAAAUGCUAGGUCCUCUGUAGAAGGAAAGGGCACAAGCUAACCAACAAAAAGACAACGAAAAGACACUCUGUCGCACUACAUUUCGCGAGAGACGUAGUCGCCUACCUGAACCUCUUCGAAGCUCGCUGACCUUAUAGAACUUCCGAUCUCGGUGGCGAAAAGACAGAGAGAGAGAGGGGUUAAAAUUUCAGUAUCCACAAGUGAAGGAAGACUUCGUAUGAUUUCACUACUAACUAGCUAGAUCUGAGGAUUCGAAGAGACUUCGUAAUGUGAUGUUUUCCUUAAUCGAAAACCCGAAGCACAUUUGCAGAAUCGUAGAUCCAGAGGGCCGAAUCUAUAGGAAGAAAGGAGGGCACUGGCUGUGCAGAAAAUGGACGGAGCGAUCGCAGCCUCGCGAUCUUGUCAAUCACACCAUAAAAGAAUGGGAGGUUUGUGACUCCUCAUUAUUCGAACCCUUUGCGUCGUCUCUAUACUAAGAUUGUAUUCUUCCGUUAUGUGUAAGUGAAUUUUGAAAUCUGCAACCCUGUACCAGGAGUGAGGCAUUCUAAGUGAAAAAUGCAGUUUCUACUCACUGGAAGCAAGAUCUACAAUUUACCUAAAUCUUCAACUGAACUCGAGCAUUCGCAUUGUGUGGUCAAAAGCUUGCAGCUAUGGUGCCUAGUGACAGCCCAAAGAGUAAUUCUAGACUAGAUUUGUUCUUCGCCGCUUUUCUAGUCUUGAUUGAGUGUGCAGUGGAUACUUCUGAAGUGGAACUGGUGCACAUUGUAUGCAAUCAAGUCCCCAUUUAGGAUUUGAUAAUUACUGCCGGUUGCUCCAGGCCUUGACACGAGUUCCCAAGCUCAUGCACUGUCGAAUCAUGCUGCAUUACAGUUAAAUCAGAGGCUCAUCUGAAAGGUGAAAAGUAUGAGCUUUUGGAUGCUGAAAAACAGGACAUGUUGAAGGACGAGGCUGUCAGAGAAGCCAGAGCAGAGGCCAAGUUCCAGAAGCUGAUGCGAGACGUUUUUAGUGGCAUGAAAGGGAAGAGCGGUGUGAUGAAGGACAUGACUGGGUUGCUCACUCGUGAAAAACACAACCAUGACGACAAACAAGCGGCCAUGUUCAAGCAGUGGGAGCAACACGUGUUUCACAAUAUCCAGAAUCAGAUCGCCAAAAAGCUCGAGAAAUUCACACCCGACCAAAUAUCCAAAAAACUUCGUAUGUCACGAGGAGUUGUCCAUUUCUGGAUCUACUUUUCCCAGGUUUAAUCAAAAGUACCUAUGGAAGCUCAAGUCACAGAACUAAUCCACAAAGAGUAUCAUUCUUGCAGGUUACCAGCAGAUGCGGUACGCCAAGGCAGUUGACGAAAGGAGAAUUUUCCGAGACAUCGUAAACGAAAAAUAUGAUCCUUUUGAGUUGGAGCAUGCUGGGGUUCACUACAACACCAAAACGCUUCUGGACCCCAUGAAGCAUGACUUGGGAAAGGUUUUCGACGCUUCCGUCGUUAGAUGUUCCAAACUUCGUUCUAUGCACGUUUUUUUCGUAAAAGCUGUCGUAAGCACGUCAUCCUCACAGACUAUUCAAUAUUCAGGAAACGUGGUUGAUGGUGGUUCAUGAUCUGAGGUUGCUUACAUGGCUGACUCGGUGCAGGAGAAGAGGGAAAAAGGAUUUUUUGGUGAGCCUGUUUUCCACCAGGCGCGUACCAAGGAAACCUUAGAUCCAUUCUACUGGACUUACGAUCAAUUCCGGACUACAGUGCAUGGUCAUUUAAAUGCCGAUGACGAAGACUUUACAUAUAAGACAAGAGAAAUGAAUCUGAGUAACCUCUUAACCAGGACUCAUCUAAAUAUUCCCCGACAGUUCACGAUGUUGAACUAUAACAUCAGAAUUAGAAGCUGCAAUUUUUCAUGUAAACGUGAUAUGUUAACUCUCUGAUACUACUACAUGAACUACAUAAUUUACGUGAGAUUCUAAGACUGUUCCGAAUAUAUCUGCAGAAAAUGGCAUUCCAAACCCGUACCUUGGAAUGGUACAUGGGGUGACGAACACUGGAAUGAAGCAUUCCCGCUGAGAGGAAAAUGUGUAAGUAAACUGCCACAACGCAUAUGUUGAAACCACCAACAUUCCAGUGCGGUUAUCAAUCAUGGAAGCCACUAGUUAUUAGUGAUUACCGAGGUCGUGAUAGUAUUUACGUCUUCCCUCACAAGGUAUGGGUUAAAGCCAGCGCGUAAGGGCGUAUAUAGAAUGCGAUACUCAUACAAUAUCCCGUUCUUGAAUGUUCCGUUCAACCGAAACUGCGCAAUUUAAACGUUAAAUAAAUGUUGUUGGAGUUGCAGCUCUACGUGCCAAGACCACUAGACGGCUGCGAGAGGAAUUGGCGAAUUGGAAAGGGUCAAGUGAAAGAGAGUCCAGUGAAAAACUACCCCAAACUCCAAAUUUCAACGGGGGGCACUUCGUUCUAAUUCCCUGUCCAGCUUUCUGAUGCCACUUAACAUACACGAAUUUGAAUGGGCAGAGAUAGACAAACUCUAUUCUCCUAGAAUGCACCAAGAAAAGUCAUGUAUCCAGCAAGUAUUUCAGCGAAGUACAUCUUUUAAUCUAGAUUAGGUUAGAUUAGAUAACGUAAGGUAAUUGAACGGAAUUGUAGUGAAGGUGAAUUUAAUUCAAGAGCAAAUAUAAUUGAAACAUGUCAACGCAAAGAAUCUCUGAUCUAUACAAUCCUUGAGUAAUAACGUCAUACUAGACCGUCGACAAGAAGAGACAAGGCAACAUCCACAAAUCAACCACAAAAGUGCCUAUAAGUAUACAAUCCGCGUAUAUCCAACUUGCAAAUCCACUAAGUAACGCAGCAAACAAUCACCGUCGAUGAUGAUCCGAAAACAAUCAGGGCAAACAUAAGCUACAUGCUGCAACUAAAACAUCAACGAACACAAAACAAAUUAUCAAAGGAGAACAGGAGUAGAAAUUGCAGAAUCCUUUAAAAGAGGUCUUACUCACAUUCCUGAAUGUUGAAAACAAUACCAGGUACCAUCACAUCCAUCAGAGCGUAUCAACACACCAAUGACCCUAACCCUAGCGCUUCCAUCUGCCUGGUUUCAGAGAUCUGCGUCUCAUCUCCACUUUCACCAAGAUCUUCUCUACCGCAGCGUAAACUGCAACGAGGCAUUCAUAAUGUCCAGGUUUCCUCCACAACCCACUACAUCUUCCCUAACUCUGUUCAGUGGGCAUGGAACGGAUGAUGUCCGAGUCACCAGGGUCGGUAAUGCUCAACGUGCAGACACGGAAGUACUUCCCGCAGGCAGUCCCCAAAUCCACAUUGUUGCCGCUGUAGUGGUGGACACCAGUCUUCGAGAGCAUAGCGUAGUACUCGAUCUCGGACUUGCGGAGGGGCGGGCAGUUGUUGGCAAUGAUCACGAGCUUGCCCUUGCCACCGCGCAGCGACUUGAGCGUGGUAGUGUACCCCAGCGUGUACUUGCCGGACUUCAUGACCAGGGCCAGCCUGUUGUUGAUAGACUCCUGAGCUUUCUUCGUCUUCUUGGCGGCCACCAUGGUGCCUGAGCUAGGAUGCGACGGCCUCCCAAGGGCUUCGACGGGCGCGACUGGAAAGCAGAGCUGAGCUCCAGAGCUGGUGC
rnacentral:lncRNA from 1 species